AUACGUAGGGUGCGAGCGUUGUCCGGAAUUACUGGGCGUAAAGAGCUCGUAGGUGGUUUGUCGCGUCGUCUGUGAAAUUCCGGGGCUUAACUCCGGGCGUGCAGGCGAUACGGGCAUAACUUGAGUACUGUAGGGGAGACUGGAAUUCCUGGCGUAGCGGUGAAAUGCGCAGAUAUCAGGAGGAACACCGGUGGCGAAGGCGGGUCUCUGGGCAGUAACUGACGCUGAGGAGCGAAAGCAUGGGUAGCGAACAGGAUUAGAUACCCUGGUAGUCCAUGCCGUAAACGGUGGGCGCUAGGUGUAGGGGUCUUCCACGACUUCUGUGCCGUAGCUAACGCAUUAAGCGCCCCGCCUGGGGAGUACGGCCGCAAGGCUAAAACUCAAAGGAAUUGACGGGG
rnacentral:rRNA from 1 species